rnacentral:misc_RNA from 1 species
GGCGGACGAUGACACAACAGAGGCAACAAUGCAGCAACAGUAUCUUGUCUCCCUUGUUGAUUGAAGAAGCAACAAGUGACUAUGAUCAGAUUGAAGAAAUCAGAAUGUGGGAACUUCGUUUGAUUUAGAUUUGAUUUAUGAUUUUGGUGUAUCAUGUAUUUUUGUUGAUUUGUGAAUUGUGAAAUUGUAGCAAGAAUGGAACCGUGAUAUGAGAUACAUGUAGCUUUGAAUUUUAAUGAAUU